rnacentral:rRNA from 1 species
GACUAAGCGUACACGGUGGAUGCCCUGGCAGUCAGAGGCGAUGAAGGACGUGCUAAUCUGCGAUAAGCGUCGGUAAGGUGAUAUGAACCGUUAUAACCGGCGAUUUCCGAAUGGGGAAACCCAGUGUGAUUCGUCACACUAUCAUUAACUGAAUCCAUAGGUUAAUGAGGCGAACCGGGGGAACUGAAACAUCUAAGUACCCCGAGGAAAAGAAAUCAACCGAGAUUCCCCCAGUAGCGGCGAGCGAACGGGGAGCAGCCCAGAGCCUGAAUCAGUGUGUGUGUUAGUGGAAGCGUCUGGAAAGGCGUGCGAUACAGGGUGACAGCCCCGUACACAAAAAUGCACAUGCUGUGAGCUCGAUGAGUAGGGCGGGACACGUGGUAUCCUGUCUGAAUAUGGGGGGACCAUCCUCCAAGGCUAAAUACUCCUGACUGACCGAUAGUGAACCAGUACCGUGAGGGAAAGGCGAAAAGAACCCCGGCGAGGGGAGUGAAAAAGAACCUGAAACCGUGUACGUACAAGCAGUGGGAGCACAGAGCAAUCUGUGUGACUGCGUACCUUUUGUAUAAUGGGUCAGCGACUUAUAUUCUGUAGCAAGGUUAACCGAAUAGGGGAGCCGAAGGGAAACCGAGUCUUAACUGGGCGUUAAGUUGCAGGGUAUAGACCCGAAACCCGGUGAUCUAGCCAUGGGCAGGUUGAAGGUUGGGUAACACUAACUGGAGGACCGAACCGACUAAUGUUGAAAAAUUAGCGGAUGACUUGUGGCUGGGGGUGAAAGGCCAAUCAAACCGGGAGAUAGCUGGUUCUCCCCGAAAGCUAUUUAGGUAGCGCCUCGUGAAUUCAUCUCCGGGGGUAGAGCACUGUUUCGGCAAGGGGGUCAUCCCGACUUACCAACCCGAUGCAAACUGCGAAUACCGGAGAAUGUUAUCACGGGAGACACACGGCGGGUGCUAACGUCCGUCGUGAAGAGGGAAACAACCCAGACCGCCAGCUAAGGUCCCAAAGUCAUGGUUAAGUGGGAAACGAUGUGGGAAGGCCCAGACAGCCAGGAUGUUGGCUUAGAAGCAGCCAUCAUUUAAAGAAAGCGUAAUAGCUCACUGGUCGAGUCGGCCUGCGCGGAAGAUGUAACGGGGCUAAACCAUGCACCGAAGCUGCGGCAGCGACGCUUAUGCGUUGUUGGGUAGGGGAGCGUUCUGUAAGCCUGCGAAGGUGUGCUGUGAGGCAUGCUGGAGGUAUCAGAAGUGCGAAUGCUGACAUAAGUAACGAUAAAGCGGGUGAAAAGCCCGCUCGCCGGAAGACCAAGGGUUCCUGUCCAACGUUAAUCGGGGCAGGGUGAGUCGACCCCUAAGGCGAGGCCGAAAGGCGUAGUCGAUGGGAAACAGGUUAAUAUUCCUGUACUUGGUGUUACUGCGAAGGGGGGACGGAGAAGGCUAUGUUGGCCGGGCGACGGUUGUCCCGGUUUAAGCGUGUAGGCUGGU